AUUGAACGCUGGCGGCCGGCCUUACACAUGCAAGUCGGGCGCGCGGCGGACGGGUGAGUACCGCAUGGGGACCUGCCUGCUGAUGGGGGAUAACUACCGGAAACGGUAGCUAAUACCGCAUACCAUCAGAUGAACCCAUAUGGGAUUAGCUUGUAGGCUCGGUAAAGGCUCACCUAGGCGACGAUCCCUCGCUGGUCUGAGAGGAUGAUCAGCCACACUGGGACUGAGACACGGCCCAGACUCCUACGGGAGGCAGCAGUGGGGAAUAUUGCACAAUGGGCGCAAGCCUGAUGCAGCCAUGCCGCGUGUAUGAAGAGGGCCUUCGGGUUGUAAAGGACUUUCGGUCGGGAGGCGUUACCGACAGAAGAAGCACCGGCUAACUCCGUGCCAGCAGCCGCGGUAAUUC
rnacentral:rRNA from 1 species